GACGAACGCUGGCGGCGUGCUUAACACAUGCAAGUCGAACGGAAAGGCCCUGCUUUUGUGGGGUGCUCGAGUGGCGAACGGGUGAGUAACACGGGAGUAACCUGCCCUUGACUUUGGGAUAACUUCAGGAAACUGGGGCUAAUACCGGAUAGGAGCUCCUGCUGCAUGGUGGGGGUUGGAAAGUUUCGGCGGUUGGGGAUGGACUCGCGGCUUAUCAGCUUGUUGGUGGGGUAGUGGCUUACCAAGGCUUUGACGGGUAGCCGGCCUGAGAGGGUGACCGGCCACAUUGGGACUGGGAUCCGGCCCAGACUCCUACGGGAGGCAGCAGUGGGGAAUAUUGCACAAUGGGCGGAAGCCUGAUGCAGCAACGCCGCGUGCGGGAUGACGGCCUUCGGGUUGUAACCCGCUUUCGCCUGUGACGAAGCGUGAGUGACGGUAAUGGGUAAAGAAGCACCGGCUAACUACGUG
rnacentral:rRNA from 1 species